CUACGGGUUGCAGCAGUCAAGAAUCUUCCUCAAUGGGCGAAAGCCUGAAGGAGCGACACCGCGUGCAUGAAGAAGCCUUUCGGGGUGUAAAGUGCUUUUAUAUGUGACGAAACAAUGACGGUAGCAUAUGAAUAAGGGGCUGCUAACCUCGUGCCAGCAGCAGCGGUAAUACGAGGGCCCCAAGCGUUAUCCGGAUUUAUUGGGCGUAAAGCGUCCGUAGGUGGUUUAUCGCAUCUCCUGUUAAAUCUCGAGGCUCAACCUCGAGCCAGCGGGAGAGAUGGACAAACUAGAGAUCGGAAGAGGCAAACGGAAUUGCUGGUGUAGGGGUUAAAUCCAUUAAUAUCAGCAAGAACACCAAAUGCGAAGGUAGUUUGCUAGGACGAAUCUGACACUCAGUGGACGAAAGCGUGGGGAGCGAAUGGGAUUAGAUACCCUGGUAGUC
rnacentral:rRNA from 1 species